rnacentral:lncRNA from 1 species
CAGUUUGAGAAGGUCAACCAACCAGCCAGGGGACUAGUUGAAAGAGCAAGGGACAGACUGUGUGGCUGCGACGUGCGUUGAUCAAGGGUCAGAAACCUUCGUACUCUUGAAACACCAGCAAAUUCGAAUUACUUGGUGUUGGUAACGCAGCCAGGAAGGGACAGACAGGGAUUCCCGCACUUCUUGACAUAUAUUGUCUCUUCCGUGGCUUUCCCCAAAGCCCUCCAGGGCCCAUUCGAAGGGCGUUUUAGUUCUACACUGAAUUAUGUGGAAACAUCCAUUCUAAGAAGGCAUCUUCAGAAGUCUGUAGUAUGUUCCCAGGAAAAGAACGAUGGAUCAAAAUAAAUCGCCAAGAGACUCAAGAUCUUCUAUGAAACACCUCUAAAAAGUUUGUCUCCUUUCAAUACAAGAAAAAUUAGACUCCCAGAGGUGGCUGCUUCCUUCCCCAGCUGUUUCCAGAAGGCUCCAGAAGAUUCAUUGUGUUUGAGGGGAGCAGAGGAGAUACAGCAAGCUGGGGAACUCCUCUCUACCCCAGCUUCACACCUGCAGAGGAGUGAAUUUGCUUAGUUUAUUUUUUAAAAUUAUUAAAUGCGUAAACCACUCUGGAACAUCAAGGUGACGAGGGGUAUAGAAGUG